GACGAACGCUGGCGGCGUGCUUAACACAUGCAAGUCGAACGGUAAGGCCCUUCGGGGUACACGAGUGGCGAACGGGUGAGUAACACGUGGGUGAUCUGCCCUGCACUUCGGGAUAAGCCUGGGAAACUGGGUCUAAUACCGGAUAGGACCCUGGGAUGCAUGUCCUGGGGUGGAAAGCUUUUGCGGUGUGGGAUGGGCCCGCGGCCUAUCAGCUUGUUGGUGGGGUGAUGGCCUACCAAGGCGACGACGGGUAGCAGGCCUGAGAGGGUGACCGGCCACACUGGGACUGAGAUACGGCCCAGACUCCCACGGGAGGCAGCAGUGGGGAAUAUUGCACAAUGGGCGCAAGCCUGAUGCAGCGACGCCGCGUGAGGGAUGACGGCCUUCGGGUUGUAAACCUCUUUCAGCACCGACGAAGCGCAAGUGACGGUAGGUGCAGAAGAAGGACCGGCCAACUACGUGCCAGCCGCCGCAGUAA
rnacentral:rRNA from 1 species